GAGUUUGAUCAUGGCUCAGGAUGAACGCUGGCGGCGUGCUUAACACAUGCAAGUCGAACGAAGCGCCCUAUUUGAUUUUCUUCGGAACUGAAGAUUUGGUGACUGAGUGGCGGACGGGUGAGUAACGCGUGGGUAACCUGCCCUGUACAGGGGGAUAACAAUCAGAAAUGACUGCUAAUACCGCAUAAGACCACAGCACCGCAUGGUGCAGGGGGUAAAAAACUCCGGUGGUACAGGAUGGACCCGCGUCUGAUUAGCUGGUUGGUGAGGUAACGGCUCACCAAGGCGACGAUCAGUAGCCGGCUUGAGAGAGUGAACGGCCACAUUGGGACUGAGACACGGCCCAAACUCCUACGGGAGGGCAGCAGUGGGGAAUAUUGCACAAUGGGGGAAACCCUGAUGCAGCAACGCCGCGUGAGUGAAGAAGUAUUUCGGUAUGUAAAGCUCUAUCAGCAGGGAAGAAAGUGACGGUACCUGACUAAGAAGCCCCGGCUAACUACGUGCCAGCAGCCGCCG
rnacentral:rRNA from 1 species